AUUGAACGCUGGCGGCGUGCUUAACACAUGCAAGUCGAGCGGUAACAGGCGUAGCAAUACGUGCUGACGAGCGGCGAACGGGUGCGUAAUACAUCGGAAUCUGCCUCGUAGUGGGGAAUAACCCGGCGAAAAGCCGGGCUAAUGCCGCAUACGAUCCACGGAUGAAAGCGGGGGACCUUCGGGCCUCGCGCUAUGAGAUGAGCCGAUGUCGGAUUAGCUAGNGGUGAGGUAACGGCUCACCAAGGCGACGAUCCGCAGCUGGUCUGAGAGGACGGCCAGCCACACUGGGACUGAAACACGGGCCAUACUCCUACGGGAGGCAGCA
rnacentral:rRNA from 1 species